GCCUAACACAUGCAAGUCGAACGCCGUAGCAAUACGGAGUGGCAGACGGGUGAGUAACGCGUGGGAACAUACCCCCUCGGUUCGGAAUAACUCAGGGAAACUUGAGCUAAUACCGGAUACGUCCAAAGUUUUAAUCGGCCUUGGAGAAAGAUUUAUCGCCGGAGGAUUGGCCCGCGUCUGAUUAGCUUGUUGGUGAGGUAAUGGCUCACCAAGGCGGCGAUCAGUAGCUGGUCUGAGAGGAUGAUCAGCCACAUUGGGACUGAGACACGGCCCAAACUCCUACGGGAGGCAGCAGUGGGGAAUAUUGGACAAUGGGCGAAAGCCUGAUCCAGCCAUGCCGCGUGAGUGAUGAAGGCCUUAGGGUUGUAAAGCUCUUUUACCCGGGAAGAUAAUGACGGUACCGGGAGAAUAAGCCCCGGCUAACUUCGUGCCAGCAGCCGCGGUAAUACGAAGGGGGCUAGCGUUGUUCGGAAUUACUGGGCGUAAAGCGCACGUAGGCGGAUCUUUAAGUCAGGGGUGAAAUCCCGAGGCUCAACCUCGGAACUGCCUUUGAUACUGGGGAUAUCGAGUCCGGGAGAGGUGAGUGGAACUGCGAGUGUAGAGGUGAAAUUCGUAGAUAUUCGCAAGAACACCAGUGGGCGAAGGCGGCUCACUGGCCCGGGUACUGACGCUGAGGUGCGAAAGCGUGGGGGAGCAAACAGGAUUAGAUACCCUGGUAGUCCACGCCGUAAACGAUGGAUGCUAGCCGUUGGACAGCUUGCUGUUUAGUGGCGCAGUUAACGCGUUAAGCAUCCCGCCUGGGGAGUACGGUCGCAAGAUUAAAACUCAAAGGAAUUGACGGGGGCCCGCACAAGCGGUGGAGCAUGUGGUUUAAUUCGAAGCAACGCGAAGAACCUUACCAGCUCUUGACAUGUCUCGUAUGGGGACCGGAGACGGUUUCCUUCAGUUCGGCUGGCGAGAACACAGGUGCUGCAUGGCUGUCGUCAGCUCGUGUCGUGAGAUGUUGGGUUAAGUCCCGCAACGAGCGCAACCCUCGCCCUUAGUUGCCGUCAUUCAGUCGGGCACUCUAGGGGGACUGCCGGUGAUAAGCCGAGAGGAAGGUGGGGAUGACGUCAAGUCCUCAUGGCCCUUACGGGCUGGGCUACACACGUGCUACAAUGGCGGUGACAAUGGGAUGCUGAGGGGCGACCCCGAGCAAAUCUCAAAAAGCCGUCUCAGUUCGGAUUGCACUCUGCAACUCGAGUGCAUGAAGGUGGAAUCGCUAGUAAUCGUAGAUCAGAACGCUACGGUGAAUACGUUCCCGGGCCUUGUACACACCGCCCGUCACACCAUGGGAGUUGGUUCUACCCGAAGGCGUUUUGCUAACCGCAAGGAGGCAGGCGACCACGGUAGGGUCAGCGACUGGGGUGAAGUCGUAACAAGGUAGCCGUAGGGGAACCUGCGGCUGGAUCACCUCCU
rnacentral:rRNA from 1 species